UGGCGCUAGGGACCUGCGACCGGCUAGGAAGGGCGGUGUUGAAGCGGCUGGCGACGGGCGGGGUAGAGAAGAAGUUUUUGGGCCCGCCCCAGCAUCCCCACAAGCUGGGGUCCCCGUGGACCGGCUGCUCCCAGCCGGACGGGCUUCCGUGAAUCCUUGGCACCUCGGCGGGGGGACCGGCCAUGUGCCAGGUGGCCAGGCGGCUAGCGCCUCCCUGCGCCUUCCUAGUGGGCCGAGGCUUCAUAGGAUAGGCUGCGGGGACGGCUCUCAGCCCAGCAGGGAAAGGAAUUACCAGCGUUUCGCCGCAGCCUAGAAUAUAAAGCACGACAGUCCCAAAGUAUCUGUUGCCCCAUUCAUUUGCAGAUUUUAGAAACGUUAACUCAGAUAAUGUUUUCUAUCAUUUUCUGGACACCUCGCGGGUCCCAGGGAGAGAAAGCCGGAAAAGAGAAUGCAGCCUAUAGAAGUGGGAAGAGCACUGGACUUGAAGUCAGAGGACCAUCAUCUCAAGUUAUUUCUGCUCCAUAGGACUCUGUUUCUGUGAAAUGGAAGGAAUUUGGGAAAAUAUUCAGAAGAUUCAAGUUUCCCCAAACUGUUUCUGUUAAGUUCAUGGCCAAAAGUGGGCUGUUUUUAAUAUUUGUGAAGAUGGAAAGUCAAGAGUAUUAGUCUGUGAGGGGCAAAAGUUUCAGAGGCGAGCUGUGGUACAGGCUAAAAAAAGACAAGAUAAGAAGAGAGGACGUUCUGUAAUGAGUAAGGGCUGCUGCACCUUCAAACUGGCUCAGCCCCUCCUGCUGGGCCCGCUCUGGGAGUCUGGAGGAGGAGACCCUUUGAGGCCCUUGGCCCUCCCUCUGCAAGCAGAGGAGGCAGGGAGCAGCAUAAAUGGAGAUGAGAACUGUCCAUGCUUCUUCCUGAUGUCUCUGUGCUUCAAAGAGAAAACUGUGUCACAGCCGGGGAGGGGAAAGCACUGAAUACCAAGUUGAAAGAGGACAUGUUCCCAGAACUCUAGGCCCACAGUUCUCAGUGUGACACAUUGUAUACAAAGAUGCAUCUGUACCCCCGCACGAACCCCCCCCCAAUCUCCCUCCAAGUGACUAAGGUGGACGCACCAGGUGUCUGUAAACCAGGACAGGGUGAUGUCCCAUCUGAGAAAUCUCCAACUUGUGGCGGGAAGCAAACACCUCAGGAAAAUGAGAGCUGAUCCAAAAUUAAAUAGCGUUUCUUUUUCCUGACUUUCAGAAAUUAUUUAGGUAAACAAUUGGCGAUUUAAUUAUAAUGUUGUCAUUAUGAAAACCUGUUAUGUCACUGGCUGCCAAUGCUAGGUAAAAACACAGGAUUCACAUUGUGUUGUUAUAAUUCUGGUCUUUCUCUGCCAUUCCUUCAGCAGUGGGAGUUAUGGGUUUGUCAGCAUUUCCAUUAGUACCUCUUAUUUUCUAGGCUUCUGUCUCAGUUGCUGAAAAUUGCAUGGUAUUGGAUGGAAGCCUGGAGAUAAUUUCCUUCAGUGUGAUAGCAGCUACAUUCUUUUAUGGUUGUGUGUGACUUUGCAAGUGAU